GAAUAAGGGCGCACGGUGGAUGCCUUGGCACUAGGAGCCGAUGAAGGACGGGACUAACACCGAUAUGCUUUGGGGAGCUGUAAGUAAGCUAUGAUCCAGAGAUUUCCGAAUGGGGGAACCCAAUAUCUUUUAUAGGAUAUUACUUUUCAGUGAAUACAUAGCUGAUUAGAGGUAGACGCAGAGAACUGAAACAUCUUAGUACCUGCAGGAAGAGAAAGAAAAUUCGAUUCCCUGAGUAGCGGCGAGCGAAACGGGAAGAGCCCAAACCAACAAGCUUGCUUGUUGGGGUUGUAGGACUCCAAUAUGGUAGUCUGUUAGUAUAGUUGAAGGAUUUGGAAAAUUCCGCUAAAGAGGGUGAAAGCCCCGUAGACGAAAUGCUAACAACACCUAGGAGGAUCCUGAGUACGGCGGAACACGAGAAAUUCCGUCGGAAUCCGCGGGGACCAUCCCGCAAGGCUAAAUACUCCCUAGUGACCGAUAGUGAACCAGUACCGUGAGGGAAAGGUGAAAAGCACCCCGGAAGGGGAGUGAAAUAGAUCCUGAAACCGUGUGCCUACAACAAGUCAAAGCUCGUUAAUGAGUGAUGGCGUGCCUUUUGUAGAAUGAACCGGCGAGUUACGAUUGCAUGCGAGGUUAAGUCGAAGAGACGGAGCCGCAGCGAAAGCGAGUCUGAAUAGGGCGAAUGAGUAUGUAGUCGUAGACCCGAAACCAUGUGAUCUACCCAUGUCCAGGUUGAAGGUGCGGUAAAACGCACUGGAGGACCGAACCCACGUACGUUGAAAAGUGCGGGGAUGAGGUGUGGGUAGCGGAGAAAUUCCAAACGAACUUGGAGAUAGCUGGUUCUCUCCGAAAUAGCUUUAGGGCUAGCCUCGGAAUUGAGAAUGAUGGAGGUAGAGCACUGUUUGGACUAGGGGCCCAUCUCGGGUUACCGAAUUCAGAUAAACUCCGAAUGCCAUUCAUUUAUAUCCGGGAGUCAGACUGCGAGUGAUAAGAUCCGUAGUCGAAAGGGAAACAGCCCAGACCACCAGCUAAGGUCCCAAAAUAUAUGUUAAGUGGAAAAGGAUGUGGGGUUGCACAGACAACUAGGAUGUUGGCUUAGAAGCAGCCACCAUUUAAAG
rnacentral:rRNA from 1 species